CACCUUUCUUCCUAGAUAGGUAUGUGUGUGUUAUGACAAACAAACAUCCUAUCCUGUUUUUAACUGCUCAAACGACUUUCCAAACAAGGAAACAGAGUCCUCUGCAUUCUCGCUUCACAAACCAAACUCCAAACCUUCACUUUUUCUCUACUUUUCUCUCUUUUCUAAUUCAAACCCCUUUCCCUGUCCUCAAUUUCUGCUCCAUUCGGAUUACGCUGCACUAUAUCCACUUUAUCUUUUCUUCUCCUCUGUUUCCAUGUUUUCUUUUUCACUAUUAUUUUUCUUCUCUGUUUCAUGUCAAAUUCAUCCAUACUUUCUACAUAUCAACACACCUCACAAACAUUAACCUGAAGCCAAGAGGGAAUUGAAUUAACAUAUCGGAACCGUACAUAUCGAAUUUUUUUAUUUUUCAAAAAUGAACUAUUUGUACCCUGUGAAAGAAGAGUACUUUGAAUCGUCACCACCAUCCUCCUCAUCGUCGCCAAAGUCUCAAACGGGAGGUGAUGAGUCAGCAAUGGUUUUUCUUCCAAGGCCAAUGGAGGGGCUUCACGAAAUAGGGCCACCUCCAUUUCUGACCAAGACCUAUGAUGCCGUGGAGGACCCUACCACUAGCCACAUAGUUUCAUGGAGCAGAGGUGGUGCCAGCUUUGUGGUUUGGGAUCCUCACGCUUUCUCCAGAGACCUUCUCCCUCGAUACUUCAAGCAUAACAAUUUCUCCAGCUUUGUAAGGCAACUAAACACUUACGGUUUUAGAAAGAUUGAUCCCGAUAGGUGGGAGUUUGCAAACGAAGGAUUCCUGAGAGGACACAGGCACCUUUUGGCAAACAUAAGGAGAAGAAAGCAACAUUCUCAGCCUUCCACUUCUCAACAAGGACAAGGGCACUGUGUUGAAGUUGGUCGUUUUGGACUUGAUGAAGAGGUUGAUCGUUUAAAGCGUGACAAGCAGGUGCUGAUGAUGGAGCUUGUGAAGCUGAGACAGCAGCAGCAGAAUACGAGGUCGUACCUUGAGGAAAUGGAGGAGAGGCUACGAGGGACAGAAAUUAAGCAGCAGCAGAUGAUGUCUUUCUUGGCUAGAGCUUUGAAGAACCCCACCUUCAUCCAGCAGCUACUCCAGCAGAAAGAGAAGAGGAAGGAGCUUGAAGAGGCAAUGUCGAAGAAGAGGAGAAGACCAAUCGAGCAAGGAGCAAGUGGGGUUGGAGAAUCAAGCAUUGGAAGGGAAGGAAGAAACAGCGUUAAAGUGGAGUGCCAAGUGUUUGGGGAAUAUGGAUUUGGAGUCUCAGAGUUGGAAGUGUUGGCUUUGGAGAUGCAAGGUUAUGGUAGGGGAAAGAGGGAACAAGAGGAAGAGCCUGAGGCACUAGAAUCACAGGAGAGGUUGGAGAAAGAACUUGAUGAAGGUUUCUGGGAAGAACUGUUCAGUGAGGGUUUUGAGGGUGAAUUAGAUAUUCCAACUUCACAAGACCCAGAUGAAGAAGAAGAUGUCAAUGUGUUAGCCAAUCGCUUUGGUUACUUAGGGUCAAGUCCUAAAUGAACCACAUAGGAUCAUGAUCAGUAAACCUUGAAUUUGUUCACUAGGUUCAAGUAGUGUGGGUUUUUUUAUUAAGAGGAAGCACUCCUGUGAAGGGCAUCAUCUCAUUUGGCAGGAUAUAUGUGGAAAUUGAUUUACUUUUUGGUGUUUCUAACCCUCGUUAUAUGAUCAUGUGCUUUUCUAGCACUUGGUAGAACCUCAAGUUUUCUCACAUUUCGAUCUCUAUGUUUGAUUAGGUAGGUUGCAGCUGUUGCUUGGACAAGAAUCUAUGGUAGUGAUAGCGAACGUUAUUUACUCAAAGAUUAUUCAGAAGCUGUAGAAUGGAUACGAAGUAGCUGAUCUCCAAGAAUCAUAACUGAUUGUUGCUUUUGAACCAAGAUCCAGUUGGUGGUUAACCUUGUCGGUUUGAUUUUUUCCCCUUCCUAUACUUUUUCAUUGCGUGAGCUUCGUGGUGUGGUUAGAAAAGACCGAGGCCACCCGACAAAUUUCAUAAUGUUACAAUUAGGUCUUUCAAGAUUCCAUUCACGUUUAAACCUUAAAAACAAAGUAAUAAACACAGAUGUGGAGCUCUCACUCGUGCCACAACACGAAACGUGUCAAGAGUCUAGGGCAUAAUCAAAUAAUGGAAAGUGAUAAUGUUUAGCUUUA